UUUAAUUCGAAGCAACGCGAAGAACCUUACCAGGUCUGACAUCCGAUGCUAUUCUAGAGAUAGAAAGUACUUCGGUACAUCGGUGACAGGUGGUGCAUGGUUGUCGUCAGCUCGUGUCGUGAGAUGUUGGGUUAAGUCCCGCAACGAGCGCAACCCCUAUUGUUAGUUGCCAUCAUUCAGUUGGGCACUCUAGCGAGACUGCCGGUAAUAAACCGGAGGAAGUGGGGAUGACGUCAAAUCAUCAUGCCCCUUAUGACCUGGGCUACACACGUGCUACAAUGGUUGGUACAACGAGUUGCGAGUCGGUGACGGCGAGCUAAUCUCUUAAAGCCAAUCUCAGUUCGGAUUGUAGGCUGCAACUCGCCUACAUGAAGUCGGAAUCGCUAGUAAUCGCGGAUCAGCACGCCGCGGUCGAAUACGUUCCCGGGCCUU
rnacentral:rRNA from 1 species